rnacentral:lncRNA from 1 species
CCUAGUAAAACACCAUUUUAGGAUUUUUGGAGGUUAUAAAACUUUGAUUGACAAUCUGUUUAUUGGAUCGGAUAGUUGGUGACGUCUUGAUCAUCAGAGAGGCUUCUUGAGAGAUUUUAAAGAGCUUUUAUGAGGAUUUUGGGGCUUCUUGUUGAGAGACUCUUGUACAAGGGUUGAGUGAUGGUUUCUCUUAUAUUCUUUGAUUUUAUUUCUCUUAUAGUGAAGCUUGCACAUCUUGUAGAGAUAGACUUGAGGGUGAUCUAUAUAUUUUUAUUAUGUUUAUUUGUUGUUCUUUUUUCUUCUUCUUUUUCUCAUGUGGUAUCAACAUCCACUUUCCAGAUGUUAUUGUGAUCUUGAGCGGAUGAUCUAUAUUUCAUAAUUGAGAGAUCUACCCCAAUAUAUAAUACAUAAAUAUAUACAUGAAUGCUCAAUUUACUCUCUCCAUAAAUAAAUAGUCAUAAGUAAUGACUAUUAAGCAUUCAUACAUAUAUAUUUAGUUUACUCUCCCCCUUUUUGUCAUCAAUAAAAAAGAGUCAAGUAAUGAUAUUAUAAAACAUCAAUAAUAUGAAUGAUACCACAUGAUUAAUGUAUUACAAGACAAUAGAGAUAGUCACAAAUAAGCAUGUAAAUGAUACGACAAGAGCUAAAAAAGAUCACAAACUCCUAAUUCUUCUC